GCAAGCGGUAUCCGGAAUGAUUGGGCGUAAAGAGUCCGCAGGUGGCCAUGUAAGUCUGCUGUCAAAGCGUCUGGCUCAACCAGAUAAAGGCAGUGGAAACUACAUAGCUAGAGUAAGGUAGGGGUAGAGGGAAUUCCUGGUGUAGCGGUGAAAUGCGUAGAGAUCAGGAAGAACACCGGUGGCGAAAGCGCUCUGCUGGACCUUAACUGACACUGAGGGACGAAAGCUAGGGGAGCGAAUGGG
rnacentral:rRNA from 1 species